AUUGAACGCUGGCGGCAUGCCUUACACAUGCAAGUCGAACGGCAGCACGGGUGCUUGCACCUGGUGGCGAGUGGCGAACGGGUGAGUAAUACAUCGGAACGUACCUUAUCGUGGGGGAUAACGCAGCGAAAGUUGCGCUAAUACCGCAUACGCCCUGAGGGGGAAAGCGGGGGACCGUAAGGCCUCGCGCGAUUAGAGCGGCCGAUGUCUGAUUAGCUUGUUGGUGAGGUAAAAGCUCACCAAGGCGAUGAUCAGUAGCUGGUCUGAGAGGACGAUCAGCCACACUGGGACUGAGACACGGCCCAGACUCCUACGGGAGGCAGCAGUGGGGAAUUUUGGACAAUGGGGGCAACCCUGAUCCAGCAACGCCGCGUGAGUGAAGAAGGUCUUCGGGUUGUAAAGCUCUUUUGUCAGGGAAGAAACAGCAGCUCUAACACAGUCUGCGAAUGACGGUACCUGAAGAAUAAGCACCGGCUAACUACGUGCCAGCCGCCGCGGUAA
rnacentral:rRNA from 1 species